GUCAAGAUGGCCGAGUUGGUCUAACGAGUUGGUCUAAGGCGCCAGUUUCAGGUACUGGUCCGAAAGGGCAUGGGUUCGAAUCCCAUUCUUGACA